UUAUUUUUAGUUUUUAAUCAUAUCAUUUGUUUUCCCUUUCAUGCCAGAAUGGUGAACAUUUUUAGCUUGUAAGAUGAAAUUUGAUGCACUGAUUGUCUCAGCUCUAAAAGACUGAACAAGAACUUAAGAGCUGAGUCUCUAUAUUGCAUCCAGGCGAUGGAGAGUCAGAGCUGUGCAGCCCAACAAACACAAGGGGUAUUCCAUGCCUUAUGACAUCAUGCUUAGCAAUAAAAGCUGGGAGAAAGAAGGAAAGGGGGUAUCUGGAGUUAUGGAAUCUGUCUUCCCAAGCAUCCUUUAUGGGUAAUGAAUUUGGCUGAGCACCUGCCUCCUGCUGAAACCUUCAAAAGGAAGUCUGUUUCACACCUGCCUGCAGCCGCUUUGACUUCCAGAUUUAGUGACCAAAUAUUUCAGCUUUAAAAAGAAAAAAAUUAUAGAUGGCAACAGAUCUGUUGGGACAGAUCACACAGGUGCACUCAAACUUGGUGCAGAGAAACAAGAUUGUCCUUCCACACUAUUCCCUGGUCAGAGGAGGUGGAGAAAUGCCAGUCUGAAUUGCAUUGGCUUGGAUUGAGCAAUGCCUUUGAGUGAGAGUCAGGAAAACUUGUUUUAAGUUAAUGAUGGUGCUACACACAGCCCUCAUGGAGAACAUGUGCAAGAGAUCACAUUCUCCUUUUAUGCACAUGUCAGCCCUUGAGAAAAGUAGACUGAGAUGAAUAAAAGCACUUCACCAAGAUUA